UCCUAUGGGGUGGUAUAGCAGCAAGCUUCCAGAAACUGCUCAGCCUGCUCUAAGCAACAUCUUGAUAUGAACUUUAAGGUCUGUUUUGCCAGAGUGAAUGCCCGAAAGUUGGAAGACAUAAGAAUCAAGCCCAAGACUUCAGAUUCCUGUCCAGCCAUAACCAAGCUGCCUGGAYACGCAAUGCUGCAAUUAAAGAGGACCAGCUUUAAGGGCUUUGAGAGAGAAAACAYGAAUUUUCACCAUUGUUGUUCAGGUUUGGCCUUUUUCUGCAGCUACUCAGCGAGGAGUGGUGAUAAAAGGGCCUUACCAACUCCUGCCUAAAUGAACUAUUCUUACUAGUGACCUUCCAUGGAACCAGACUCUUGAAAAUAAUGUUACUCAUGGUGUUUACCAGCAAGUCGAGAUUUAUGCUUUAUACCUAAAGGUGGAGUUUGGAAGACCCAGGCCAGCUAAGUGCAACAUGGCAGCGCUUACAAGGAAGUGGCAGCCUCAACAUCUCUAACAAGAAAGGAAAAGACAGAUGAGAUCCCUUAGGAAUGCAGUAUUUAAGGAGAGAACCAAGAGUCCUUUCAUGAAUGGAGAGAGCACUCCGGUGAGUCCUGGGCUAUCAGCUGUCUUAGCGGCAUGUCGGGGUUUAAGAAUGAUUUGGAUCACAAGCUCUAACAUUUUCCAGACAUUCAGAUUGCAACUUUCUACUAAGCCAGCAAUUUUAUGCUUGCCUUUCCCUGACUCCAACAGUACCUUAAUAUAAGCAGCCAGAUUUUCUCCUGCAUUGUUUUUUAUCCAUUCAGCCAAAAUUAGCAGUCUUCGAGGAUGAACUAUGCCAAGUGAAUUUAAAUCUUGCGGACUAAAAUCCACCUAAAGUUGAUGGAUAUAUUCAUGCCUACUGUUGAAAUCUACCAAUUACUGAGAACUAUGUUAACUUACCAUAGAAACAUCUCAUCUAAUAGCACAGAUGAUGUUGAACUAACUAAUUACAUUAUGGCACAUAGACAAUGAAAAACAUAACGAAGAUGACAGAACAGCAACAGCAGA